CUCCUUUUCUUUACCGCUCCGAACCUUUCACCUUCCUAGCCAUGGAAGGGCAUAUUCUUGUUUAUUGGCAAAGCUGUCACCAUUUAAUUGGUAUCAGAUUCUGACUUGCACAAGUAACAGUU